rnacentral:lncRNA from 1 species
GAGGCAGAAUCUGAGGUCCUGAGAAAAAGGUGUCAAGAGGUGGAGAGUGAAAGCCAGUAUUUCAUCGAAGAUACAUGGAGAUAUUAAUGAGAGAGAGAGAAUUGGAAGCAGAAGUCGGACGUUUAAGGGGUUCCCUAGCGAGGAUUGAAGCCGAAAGUCCGAGGUCGGAGGAAGCCGGGCCUUCUUAGGGCUCUUUUUGUCCUUCCAUCUUCCC